CCUGGGGCUUGGGACUGUCAGCAGAUGGUCUCGGCAAAAAACUGAGACAGCUCCUAACCAUCUGGUCAUUCCUUCUGAGAUUUCACUUCCAUGGCAACUGCGGUUCUUCAUUCCUACUUCUCCAGAAGAGUGUGUAAAAUUGGUUUCCUUCUCAUGUCUACUUUGGGCAUUUCUUCCCUAAAGCAAGAUAAAGAGAACCUAGCAGGUGGAUACAGGGUACUCUGAUCUAAAGAAACAAAGUUACAGAGGCAUGAAGAUAUGUGAUACACUUAGAGACCCUCCAGCUGCCUGGAGUAGAGAUCACAAACUCAAAUGCCUGCAGGUCAUACGGGUCACUCAAAUGUGUGAGCUGCAAGGAGAUGAUCUCUGCCAACACCUGAGUGAGCUGGGAAAUGGAUUGUUCCUCAGCUGAACCGGGGGAUGCGAGAGCAGCCCAGCUGAGAUCUCCAUGGCAGCCUUGCAAGGAGACCGUGAGAGCAGGAACAGUAAGGCAUGCCUGGACUCUUGACUGACAAAAACCGACAUCCCGAGCGUGUCUUUUGAAUUUGCUUCAGUGAAAAUGUAGCUCAAUGCCGCCAGAGAGCACGGAGCUCCUUGCGUUCCAGUUCCUCACCAAAGAGACUCUGUCUAAGCAUCUCCUGGUUACAGCUUCAAGUGGAAACUCGUGUGCCUUAUCUUCCUUUUACAGACAGCACAGGUCAGAAAUUGCAAUGAGGAAGAUAUGCUUAUAGCACCAAGAAGCCAAUUGACCAUCUGGCAGUGGAGGAGGACACAGCAGACACAGCUCCAAUUCCAUGUGAAUUUGAAGACAUUGGCUAAAGAUCCAUACAGUGCUUAGUGAUGCUGUGUCCUAAGAAGAACACUGACAGAUGGGCAUGUCCUACUGAAGUCCCUGCUCGAGUCUGUGUAUUGGAAGCAUUCCAGCAGGGUGGUACCAGAGUUGGGAGGUGGUGGACCUGGAGACUGUGCUGUACACAUACCUCGGCAGUAGGCCCUCUCUGGGAGAGGGUGGCAGCUUGCUAGCAAAGCUCCCCCCCCUUUGAUGGGUACUGCAGAGAGAUGGGAUGGAGAGACAGUCACUGGCUCUACUCUCACGGUGACCUCUAGGCUGUGUGGCCAGACAGAUCAUCUCCUGGGCUGUCUGUGCAGGGACAGGACUUUGCUCGAGGAAGAGAUGCACACUGGUAUUGGGAUACGUUGUUUUAUAGCCCUUCAGGCUGUGCUUUCCCUUUUCCCAGUAUAAUAGGUUUAAUGUGAUCACACCACACAAUCACCAAGAAGAAGGCCCUCAACCCCUCUCUCCACCCUGAGCGUACAAGACUCCCCACCUCUCUGUACCCCAACCAUGGGCAGCUUCUGCUGCUUCCGAAAAAGCAGAGAGCUCUGCUAACUUCUGGCCUUCAGGCUUCCUCCACUGUUUGGAACACUCAUUCUUUUCCUUGCCCUAUCCGCACUCCUUCCUCAGUUCUCAGCUUAAAGGCCCCUGGCUCUGGCAAAUGCCCCCCCCAGCCCUCCCAUCUUCACCUGCAUAGGUGGGAGGCUGCCACCAGAUGCUCCUGUAGUGCUUGCUCAUUUCCUACCUCCUUUAUUUGACUAUUAAUACCCUCAAAGGCAGGGACCACCCUGUUUUGCUCAUCCUUUUAUUCUCAAUGCCCUCUACAGUGCCUGACAUAAACAGGUUCUUAAUACAUAUGUGCUGAAUGACUGAUUUCAGUUUAUAAGAUACUUAGGGAAUAGGAUAGAGACAAAUUUUUGAGCUGACUCACAGAGAUUGAUAGAGGACCUGACUUAUUAGGAAUGAGACCUUAAUUGGGUUAUAAAAACUUUUUUUGCUGCUGAAAAGGGGAGUGAGGAGCAGAAGAAUAGACCAUGGACUGUUCCUCAUACCAUGCUACCCUGUGCUAUUAACAGAGCCUGUGGCCCAUUAUGACCAGGGGUCCCAGCACAGAAAACAGGACAAGCCUCCUAUCUCUGCUCUUUGAGGCCAUGUCAGGUCCCUCUGGGGCUGAGAGAGUCAUCUGAUGUCUUAGAACCCAGGACUUGGGAGCCCCAGCAGACAGCCACCUCCAGAUGCUGGAGUGUAGACCCUGACAGCAUGAAGAGGCUGCCAGUCUAGCCACUCAUUGAAACCAGGGCUCUUGCACGCACUGCUGGAAAGAAAUGACACCACAGCCCCCGCUGGAGCUGAGCCACAGUAGAGCUCGGCCUAUGGCUAAACUAGUCUCAUUACACAAGAACAGCGAAAAGUUUUUUGUAUUUUGUUCUGAAACCUGAUUCCUUGAAACUUCCAUUCAAGGGUUCUCAUUCUGGAGAAACAUCUAGGGACUUAAUCUCCCUCCAGUCUAACAGACCUUGAACUGUCUGGAGAGAGCUGUAACUUGUGACCAUAGUGCCUCUA